AGAACGACUCUCGGCAACGGAUAUCUCGGCUCUCGCAUCGAUGAAGAACGUAGCGAAAUGCGAUACUUGGUGUGAAUUGCAGAAUCCCGUGAACCAUCGAGUCUUUGAACGCAAGUUGUGCCCGAAGCCUUCUGGCCGAGGGCACGUCUGUCUGGGCGUCACGC
rnacentral:rRNA from 1 species